UAAACGGCCCUUUUUAGGGCCACACAAAGUAUCUCAAUAGACCCU
rfam:Trachymyrmex cornetzi contig20672, whole genome shotgun sequence.